UACGAACGCUGGCGGCGUGCUUAACACAUGCAAGUCGAACGGAAAGGCCCUGCUUUUGUGGGGUGCUCGAGUGGCGAACGGGUGAGUAACACGUGAGUAACCUGCCCUUGACUUUGGGAUAACUUCAGGAAACUGGGGCUAAUACCGGAUAGGAGCUCCUGCUGCAUGGUGGGGGUUGGAAAGUUUCGGCGGUUGGGGAUGGACUCGCGGCUUAUCAGCUUGUUUGUGGGGUAGUGGCUUACCAAGGCUUUGACGGGUAGCCGGCCUGAGAGGGUGACCGGCCACAUUGGGACUGAGAUACGGCCCAGACUCCUACGGGAGGCAGCAGUGGGGAAUAUUGCACAAUGGGCGGAAGCCUGAUGCAGCAACGCCGCGUGCGGGAUGACGGCCUUCGGGUUGUAAACCGCUUUCGCCUGUGACGAAGCGUGAGUGACGGUAAUGGGUAAAGAAGCACCGGCUAACUACGU
rnacentral:rRNA from 1 species